CACGUAGGGGCCAAGCGUUGUCCGGAUUUAUUGGGCGUAAAGAGCUCGUAGGCGGCUCGGUAAGUCGGGUGUGAAACCUCCAGGCUCAACCUGGAGACGCCACCUGAUACUGCUGUGGCUAGAGUCCGGUAGGGGAGCGUGGAAUUCCUGGUGUAGCGGUGAAAUGACGCAGAUAUCAGGAGGAACACCAGCGGCGAAGGCGGCAUCCUGGACCAACACUGACGCUGAGGAGCGAAAGCCAGGGGAGCAAACGGG
rnacentral:rRNA from 1 species